rnacentral:tRNA from 1 species
GGAGGGCUGGCCGAGUGGUAAGGCACCGGUUUGCUAAGCCGUGGUCCGGGCAUCACGCCCGGCGCGCGUUCGAUCCGCGCGCCCUCCG